rnacentral:rRNA from 1 species
CCUAGGGGAGGCAGCAGUGGGGAAUUUUGGACAAUGGGGGCAACCCUGAUCCAGCCAUUCCGCGUGAGUGAAGAAGGCCUUCGGGUUGUAAAGCUCUUUCGCAAGAGAAGAAAUCUUACUAUCAAAUAAAUAGUAAGGAUGACGGUAUCUUGACAAGAAGCACCGGCUAACUAUGUGCCAGCAGCCGCGGUAAU